rnacentral:rRNA from 1 species
GACAAACGCUGGCGGCGUGCCUAAUACAUGCAAGUCGAACGAGGUAGCAAUACCUAGUGGCGCACGGGCGAGGAACACGUAGAUAAUCUGCCCUAAGCUGGGGGAUAACCAGUCGAAAGACUGGCUAAUACCGCAUAAGACCACAAGAGCUGCGGAUCAAGGGGUGAAAGGAGCAAUUCGGCAUAGGAUGAGCCCAUGGCUGAUUAGCUAGUUGGUGAGGUAACGGCUCACCAUGACGACGAUCAGUAGCUGGUCUGAGAGGAUGACCAGCCACACUGGAACUGAGACACGGUCCAGACUCCUACGGGAGGCAGCAGUGGGGAAUCUUGCGCAAUGGGGGCAACCCUGACGCAGCCAUACCGCGUGAGUGAUGAAGGUCUUCGGAUUGUAAAGCUCUUUCGGCGGGGACGACGAUGACGGUACCCGCAAAAGAAGUCACGGCUAACUUCGUGCCAGCCGCCGCUGUAACAC